AGAGGGUGAAAUAUGACCGAUUAAUACCUUAUUCGCAUAACCAAAACCUAGCGAAAAUAAUUCCUUCUUCUAUUACUUGAGACUUGAGAGAAUCACAAAACUUGUUCGGUUGUUCCUUCCUAGUCCUCGUAAACCCUCUUUUCUGAGAGAGGUCAUUUUUCCAUAGUUUCACCGACUUUCUCUCUCCUCCACAGCCGCCAUGGGAACACCGGAGACUUCUCGAGAACCGUGUCCAGACCGUAUCCUCGACGAUUUAGGUGGUGCCUUCGCCAUGGGAGCUGUCGGAGGUUCAAUCUUCCACUUCAUCAAAGGCUCAGCCAACUCCCCAAAAGGGGAGCGCCUCUUAGGUGGGGCUCAGACGAUGCGCAUGAACGCACCUCGAACUGGUGGGGGGUUUGCCGUUUGGGGAGGUUUAUUCUCAACCUUCGACUGCGCCAUGGUCUACGCUCGUCAAAAAGAGGACCCUUGGAACUCCAUCUUCGCCGGUGCUGCAACAGGUGGGUUCCUCCAGAUGCGUCAGGGUCUUAAAGCCUCCAGCAGGUCCGCUGCUUUUGGUGGUAUUCUUCUUGCUCUUAUUGAGGGAGCUGGGAUCAUGCUUAAUCGGGUUAUGUCGCCACCGCCUCAGAUAAUGUAUGAGGAUCCUAAUAUGGCUGGUGUGGGUAUGGGUGGACAACACGCGCCGAUGGGUAAUGCUGGCUUUGGUAUUCCUGGUCAGAUGAAAGCGCCUUCGAAUAUUGGUGGUGGGUCUGAGGAGGUUAAUCAUGGUGGUAGUGCUGGUGGUGCUGGUUCCGGGUUUUUUGGUGGGUGGUUUGGUGGUGGUGGUGAUGGGAAGAAGGAGGGUAAGACAAGUUCGAGUGGUGGAGGUAGUGAAGCUAAGGUGUUGGAGAGCUUUGAUUCGCCUACUCCUAUGCCCAAUUUUGAGUACAAAUGAGACUGCUGCUAUGUUUUCAGGGUUGCCAACGGCUGCUGCUAUCUGCUGGGUUGUUGGAUUGGGUCAGGUGAUGAUUCUGUUGGCGUUGGAGAUUUACUGGUGGAAAAUUCUUUUGGACUUUGGGACUGUGGUUGUCUUUGAGAGAAUUAGAAGUUGUAGGAUCUUAAUUAUUUUUAGUUAAACUCUUUAUGUUAUUGUUAUUGAGGAUGGCAUUCCUCUUUAGAGACAAAUUAGUUAUAAAGCAUAUGCGAUGUACAAGUUACAUCUUAUAUUGUGUGCUUUUAUAUUUUGUUACUCUAAUCAUAACGGUAAUUAGUACCCCGUGCAAUUUGUUAUAUAAGUACCUAUGAUUAUAUAGGUUCAUGUAUGUAUAAUUUUGUCCA